rnacentral:pre_miRNA from 14 species
UUCUAUCAUUCAUAUUUUGCCUGAAAGAACAAAUGAAAGAACCCCAAAUUGGGGAGACUCUCGCUCCAGUCUUGGGAUGGCGGCAUGCCCCAUGAAACUCGAGAAGCC